rnacentral:rRNA from 1 species
GAGAGAGGCAGACGGUAUUUUUGGGGUAGGGGUGAAAUCCUAUAAUCCCAGGAAGACCACCAGUGGCGAAGGCUGUCUGCUAGAGCGCGCCCGACGGUGAGGGAUGAAAGCUGGGGGAGCGAACCGGAUUAGAUACCCGGGUAGUCCCAGCUGUAAACGAUGCAGGCUAGGUGUUUGGACGGCCACGUGCCGUUCUAGUGCCGCAGGGAAGCUGUUAAGCCUGCCGCCUGGGGAGUACGAUCGCAAGAUUGAAACUUAAAGGAAUUGGCGGGGGAGCACCACAAGGGGUGAAGCUUGCGGUUUAAUUGGAGUCAACGCCGGAAAUCUCACCGGGAGCGACAGCGGUGUGAAGGCCAGAUUAAAGGUCUUGCCAGACGAGCUGAGAGGAGGUGCAUGGCCGUCGCCAGUUCGUGCCGUGAGGUGUCCUGUUAAGUCAGGCAACGAUCGAGACCCGCGUCCUCUGUUGCUACUAGCCUUGAGCUGGGCACACUGAGGGGACCGCCACUGAUAAAGUGGAGGAAGGAGCGGGCCACGGCAGGUCAGUAUGCCCCGAAUCUCCCGGGCCACACGCGAGCUGCAAUGGCAGGUACAAUGGGUUCCGACCUCGAAAGAGGGAGGCAAUCUCGAAAGCCUGCCGUAGUUGGAAUUGAGGGUUGAAACUCACCCUCAUGAACAUGGAAUCCCUAGUAAUCGCGUGUCACUAGCGCGCGGUGAAUACGUCCCUGCUCCUUGCACACACCGCCCGUCGUUCCUUCCGAGUGACUUUUGGGUGAGGUGCCGUCUUAUUGGCGGUAUCGAAUCUGAGUUUCACAAGGAGGGAA